ensembl:lncRNA
CUAGACUGUCCUAGGACUCAAAGACAGCUCCAGGCGUCCCCUCCCCUCUCCCAAUUAAAGGGUUGACUCCAGGGCCCACAGGAGCCAGCCUCCAGUUCCUUUGAUAGAAAACAGUGAAUAAACUGAAGGAAUCAAGGACUGGGAGCCUGAAAACCUGAGCUCUGAUCCAUUUCCCCACUGCUCCCGGACUUGGGCAAGCUAUUUCCAGAGCGCCACCUACUGCCAGGCUCCAGGGCGUGCAGCAGUGAAAGCCAGUCAUUGACCCUGCAGUGGGGAGCUUACCUUCUAGCCGCCAAUAUCCAUGAUCCAAGACUUGAGAAGGUCAAGGAUAUCACUUAGAGCUUUUGGCCAAAGCUGAAAGCUGGCCAUGCUACAGAAUGAAAUGAAAGAGGUUUCUAUUUUCUUCAUGUUCAGAAAGCAGGCCGUGGUACCGCUGGGAUUCACCUCCUCUCCCCAAGCCAUUUCCAGCUUCAUAGAAAAGGUGAGAAAACCGAGGGACAGUGGGGUAACAUGACUUGCUCCAGGGCACACGGUUAAGAAAGUGACAGAGCUGAAAGGAACUUCUGCAACGCAACAACCGGAAAAGAAAAGCAACCCGAGUCAAAACUGAGCAAAGGACGGGCACACAUGCACAUUUCUCUGAAGAAAGCAUCAAAUGGUCAGCAAGCACACGGAAAGAUGCUUGACGUCAGUAAUCGUCAGGAAAAUACAAACCAACACUACAAUGCAAUGCCACUUCACACCUAGUAGGAGCAUUAUUAUAAAAAAAGAAAGGAAGAAAGAAGAAAACAAGUGUUGGUGAGAAUGUGGAGAAACUGGAACCCUUGUGCAUUGCUGGUGGGAUACACAAUGGAGCAGCCAUUGUAGAAAAACUAUAUGAAUAUGGCGGCUCUGCAAAAAAUUGAACAUACAGCUACCACAUGAUUCAGCAAUUCCACUUCUAAGUAUAUACCCCAAAUAAUUCAAAGCUGAUACUUGUGAACAGACACUUGUACACCCAUAAGUUCACAGCAGCGUUGGUCACAAUAGCCAAAAAGUGGAAACAUUGCAAAUCUCCACUGAUACAUGAAUGGAUAGACAAAAUGUGGUGUAUCCAUUCAGUGGGUGAGUAUUCAGCCCCAAAAAGGAAUUACAUUCUGACACAUGCUACAAGAUGGAUGAACCUUAAAAAUAUUAAGUGACGUUCAGUCAGUUCAGUUCAGUCGCUCAGUCGUGUCCGACCCCAUGAAUCGCAGCACGCCAGGCCUCUCUGUCCAUCACCAACUCCCGGAGUUCACUCAGACUCACGUCCAUCGAGUCAGUGAUGCCAUCCAGCCAUCUCAUCCUCUGUCGUCCCCUUCUCCUCCUGCCCCCAAUCCCUCCCAGCAUCAGAGUCUUUUCCAAUGAGUCAACACUUAGCAUGAGGUGGCCAAAGUACUGGAGUUUCAGCUUUAGCAUCAUUCCUUCCAAAGAACACUGGGACUGAUCUCCUUCAGAAUGGACUGGUUGGACCAGACACAAAAGUAUUGUAUGAGUCCAUUUACACGAGGUACCAAGAGCAGUCAAAUUCAAAGAGACAGAAAGUAGAAUUGUGGUUGCCAGAGGCUGGAGGGAGGACAGAAUGGGGAGUUAUUGUUUAUUGGGUACACAGGUUCAGUUUGGGAUGUUGAAAAGUUCUGGUAAUACACAAGGUAAUGACUGCACAACAAUGUGAAUGCCACUUAAUGCCCCUGAAUUGUACACUUAGAAAUGGUUACAA